GGCAAAUCAUUUCAGCCUCACAAAUCGCCUCCAUCUCUAUUCACUCGUUCUCAACUCUGAAAUUGCCCAUCUAUCUCUCUCUGCAACUGCAAACUACAAAAUCAACAACAAUCAGAAGUUCAAAACCCAAAUCUUUCAGUUUCCAUCGCCCGCAAGGAUUUCCUUAUAUGGUUUAGGCUGACUGGUGAAUGCUGGAAAAGAGACACAUUCCAUAUGGCUUCAGAUUUUCUCUAAAGUUAGAGAUAGAAGUCAACCCUUGGAUUCUUGCUUUCACUACUGACGGUAAAAUAAGGCUCUUCUUUGCGCAUUGAGUUUCGGGUUGUACAAGGGUUCAUGUUACCUGCAAUCGAACACGGCUGCUAUGGCCGGUUCUCUCUCUCUCUGCAAUUGCUAACUUAUGUUGUGCAAAUUUGAGGCUAAAUGGCUGGUACGAAGCAAAGUGAGAGACACAGCUCUUUUCUUUGUUGUGACAAAGUUGAUUUGAUGCAGAUUGGGUUCCUCCCUUGUAAGAGGACAAUUAAUGGCAUGAGUAGUUUCGGAAAAGGAAAACAGGCAACACUUCGUAGCAAUGGAAUUGCAGUUGAGCUCCCUUUGAAGGAAUGAAAUUGCAACUGACGGAGUUCAACUGGAAUUUUAAAUACUGAGAUACAACGUCUCAUGCCUGAAGGUUUUUUUUUCCGUGGUUGGCACGCAAAGGCAGAACCGGCAUAGUACCCACCUCAUUGAUUGAAAGGAACAAUUGAGGAUAAGCUGGGAAAGUCAAACUUUACAUAAAAAAAGUAGUAGUUAACUGAAUUCCUUUCUACAAUAUCAGACUUCAGACUUCUUUGUUAAUUGUUAUAUUUUUAUAUUUCAUUUUCAUUAAGAUGAAUCUAAAACUUAUAUGUCCUAGUUUCAAAUGGCUAUGAUCUACUAAACAAGCAAUCUCAAUGAUUGGGUGUACUUGUUUAUUUGAACGAGGAGAACUUUAGAACACUGACAAAUGUCUUUUUGUAGCCUAUACGUAUUUGUAUUUAUAUAUAUAUAUAUAUAUAUAUAUAUAUAUAUAUAUGUAUAAUUUUUUUUUUGGAAGCAACGUUUACAAUCCAAUCCGGUAUUUUAAGUGUUGAGUUAGAGUUUAGUUGAACCAUUAAUACUAGUGGAAGAGAAACAAGGGGGCUUGUAACUCUAAUUUUACCCCAAUCUUGAGGUGUAGAUUGUAUUCUUUUCGGUGUGGAGUUUUUUUUGUUUAUGUGACUUGUUAUCUGCUUCUGUUCUUUAACAGAACAAAAUGGCAGCAGCAGUUUUUUGGUUUUUUUUUUUAUUUAAACCCGGCAAGAAAAAGAAAACCGCCGUACGGCAUCUACAUGGACAAGAACAGUAACCCAUACAUACAACAAAGAAAUACAGACAAAACCAAAACACACAAAACUAUCCAAAGCAAAACUAAUCUUCCAGUAAUGUCAAAAUUACAGCCUUGACAACAACCUAUAUUUAGAGGGAGUUGGCAUAGCCAAGGAUCGGUCCCACCAGCAAGGAAAAUAGAACAUCGAAAAUAUUGGCCCAAAACGUCAACCAUGUCAUAGGAAACUCAAACUUUACAUAAAAAAAAUAGUAAACUGAAUUCCUUUCUACAAUAUCAGACUUCUUCGUUAAUUGUUAUAUUUUUAUAUUUCAUUUUCAUUAAGGUGAAUCUAAAACUUAUAUGUCCUAGUUUCAAAUGGCUAUGAUCUACUAAACGAGCAAUCUCAAUGAUUGGGUGUACUUGUUUAUUUGAACGAGGAGAACUUUAGAACACUGACAAAUGUCUUUUUGUAGCCUAUACGUAUUUAUAUAUAUAUAUAUAGAUAUAUAUAAAUAUAUAAUUUUUUUUUUU